GGGUCGGUAGUGCGAUUGGCUAGCACAGGCUUCCCUCGUAAAGGGUGAAACGCGGGUUCGAUUCUCGUCCGAUUCA